rnacentral:rRNA from 1 species
CUCUCUGGCCAUGCCUCCCUGAACGCACCAGAUCUCCUCUGAUCUCGGAAGCUAAGCAGGUUCGGGCCUGGUUAGUACUUGGAUGGGAGACCACCUAGGAAGACCAGGUGCUGUAGGCC